UACAGAGGCCCCAAGCGUUACUGAGAAUCACUGGGUUUAAAGGGUGCGUAGGUGGUCCGUUAAGUUCGUUGUGAAAGCCCUGGGCUCAACCCAGGAACUGCUUCGAAUACUGGCGGACUUGAGGCCGGUAUGGGUCACUGGAACUGACGGUGGAGCGGUGAAAUGCGUAGAUAUCGUCAGGAACGCCAAUGGUGAAGACAGGUGACUGGGCCGGAUCUGACACUGAUGAGCGAAAGCCAGGGGAGCAAACAGG
rnacentral:rRNA from 1 species